rnacentral:lncRNA from 1 species
GAGACGGAGUUUCGCUCAUGUUACCCAGGCUGGUGCAAUGGCGUGAUUUUGGCUCACUGCAACCUCUGCCUUCUGGGUUCAAGCAAUUCUCCUGCCUCAGCCUCCUGAGUAGCUGGGAUUACAGGUGCCCGCCACCACACCCAUCUAAUUUUUGUAUUUUUAGUAGAGAUAGGGUUUCACCAUGCUGGCCAGGGUGAUCCGCCUGCCUCGGCCUCCCACAGUGCUGGGAUCACAGGCGGGUGGAUCACGUAAGGUCAGGAGUUCGAGACCAGCCUGGGCAACAUGGUGAAACCCCGACUCUACUAAAAAUACAAAAAUUAGCCCGGUGUGGUGGCGGGCACCUGUAAUCCCAGCUACUUGGGAGCCUGAGGCAGGAGAAUCGCUUGAACCCAGGAGGUAGAGGUUGCAGUGAGCUGAGAUUGCGCCACGGCAUUCCAGCCUGGCAACAGAGGAGACUGUCUUAAAAAAAAAAGAGAGAGACAGGUGGAAAGCCCACAGGUGAAGAGGUGAAGCCCAGGGAGAAACUUACUAAAGGAGGUGAUUGGUUGCACCAGCCUCUGCUGGGCAGUCAGUCCUAACGCCUGAGACUAGAUGGAGGGGCUAAGCAACAGGUUGCAGUGCGAUGGUUCAAAGCAGUUUUGGGGGAAGUGGUGGGGACCAGAGUGGAAUAGUGGGCUCAGGAGAGAAUGAGAAAGGCAAGUGAUUGAAUCUGCCAAAGACAGAUCACCUUUUAGAGGGCAGGAGAGAAUGAGCAAGAGUGGAGAGUGGAAUGGAUGCAGAGAGGGCUUUAUUUUUUUGGUGGAGGGAGGGGACAGAGUCUUGCUCUAUCACCUAGGCUGGAGUGCAGUGGCGCAAUCUCGGCUCACUGCAACCUCCGCCUCCCGGGUUCAAGUGAUUCUCCUGCCUCAGCCUCCCAAAGUGCUGGGAUUACAUAUGUCACCCACCACACCCAGCCAAGAGAGGGUUUUAGAGGCAGGAACAGCAGCUGCAUGAUCUUCAGCAGAUUCAGUAGAGAGGGAAGUGAGCUGUGGGAGAGGAAGGAGGAUGGGGGAAAUGGCAAGAAAAGGAGCACCCUGCUUAGAAAGGGAACGGAGCCGGGUGUGGUGGCUCACGCCUGUAAUCCAGCACUUUGGGAGGCCGAGGCAGGAGGAUCACUUGAGCCCAGGAGUUUGAGACCAGCCACAUAGCAAGACCCCAUCUCUAUUUUUUUGGAAAAAAAAAAAAAAAAAGCAGCAAGCAACAGGAUGGGUGGAAGAGAGUUGCUGAAGGCUCUUGCAAGAUCCUCUCUGCCUGCUCCUUCUCUCACAGAGGGACAGGGGAGGGUGAUGAGUCAGUGGACUGAAUGUCCCCAUGGGGAUGAAGGAUGGUUGGGGUCAGGGUCCUAGAGGGAGGGCUGGAAGGAGGGAAGGAGAUGGCCAGAGAAGGAUGUAGGACACAGAGGUGCCGCCGUGGAUCACCAAGAGGUUCAGGACUGGCCAGAGGAAGGAGAGGAGAUCAAGGCAAGCAUGAGGCACUUGGGAGAUGCAUCUGUGCCUGCACACAGCUGAAAUCCCCAGGAAAUAAGACGGGAGCAGGGUGGGUUUCUGCAGCCGAGGUGAGACCAAAGUGCCAGCUCACUGCCACCCUCAGUAAAGACUAACUUGCCCUUCCCCACAACUCCCCUCCCAGAAGUAGCUUGCUCUCCUCUGCCUGCCACACAUCGGGGGGCUCAGGGAAAGCUCCCCCUCCCUGGACAGCUAGUGUUCCCUAGGCCAAGGCCAGUCCCUGCAGAGAUGAGGAGCUGGGAAAUCCCCUCCUCCCAUCCCGCACGUCCACGCGUGCCAGAUCCUGUGCUGCGGGCUUUUCACACACAGCCUCUUAGCCUGUGAGGCGGGUGCUGUUGUCCUUCCCAUUUUGCAACUGAGCAAACAGCCUGAAAGAGACAAAAACCAGGUAGUUAGCAUGACCCCAAAGCCACUCCCUGGUCUACGCUGUUCUGCAGCCUGAGCCUGGGGUGGCCAGGCGGGGUUGUGCAGUGGGGGGAAGGAGAAUAGCCCCCAGAAAUGCUGCCGGAAUGGUAAAGGGCCUGGACUGCAAAGCUAGUGACUUGAGCUUUAUUUUGUGGCACUGGAGGUUUUCCCAGUCAUUGUAAUGAUACAAUCAGAUUUGCGUUGUCUUCAAGUUACCAUGGUAACCGUACUUCCACCCACCAAGAGUGGAUUGGAGAAGGCAAAACUAGGGCAGAGAAGCCAGGGAGUGUUGAGAAGGUCUGAACCCAGACAGUGGGCAGCUGGGCCCCAAGACGGAUGGGGGACUCCAGAAGCGUGGAGCUGGCAGAGAGAAACCUGCCCGGGGCAUCAGAGAAAAGGGCGACUGUGCAGGAACAGAGUAGAUGAGGUGGGGGAACCUUUGGGUAAGAAGAGCUGAAUCAGGAGCAUUGAGGCAGCGGUUUUCAAACCUCAGAAGCAACAGCAGGGCCGGUCGCGGUGGCUCAGCCUGUAAUCCCAGGACUUUGGGAGGCUGAGGCGGGUAGAUCACCUGAGGUCGGGAGUUCGAAACCAGCCUAGCCAACAUGGUGAGACCCUGUCUCCACCAAAAAAUACAAAAAUUAGCCAGGCAUGGUUGGCAGAUGCCUGUAAUCCCAGCUACUCGGGAGGCUGAGGCAGGAGAAUGGUGUGAACCCGGAAGGCGGAGGUUGCAAUGAGCCGAGAUCACGCCACUGCACUCCACCCUGGGCGACAGAGCGAGACUCUAUCUCCAAAAAAAAAAGGCCAGAUGCAGUGGCUCACGCCUGUAAUCCCAGCACUUUGGGAGGCCAAGGCAGGAGGAUUGCUUGAAGCCAGGAGACCAGCCUGGGCAACAUAGUGAGAUCCUGUCUCUACAAAAAAUGAAAACAAUGAGCCAGUGUGGUGGUGCACAUCUGUAGUCUCAGGUACUCAGGAGGCUGAGGAGGGAGGAUUGCUUGAGCCCAGGAAGUCAAAGCUGCAGUGAGCUAUGAUCACACCACUGCACUCUGGCCUGCGAGACAGAAUGAGACCUUGUCUUUCAAAAAAAAAAAAAUUCUAGAAUUGUUCUUGAAUAGCAGUGGUUAACAUCUUUUAAAAACUUUGGAAGGUAGUGAACUCCCCAUCACUGGAGGCAUUUAGCAGAGGUUGAGCUGCCACUCACCAAAGAGGCCUCUUCAUGUAGGGCUUGCUGCAGGAGACAAGAAGGACAGGAGAGCCCCGCCUGUUUGCAAGGGGCUGCGGGGAGGACUAGAACCAAGGAGGGGCCCCUCUACCCACCAAAUCCACUUCUCUUUGCUGCCCCGCCACCAGCUCCCUGCAGCUCCUCCCUGCAUAUGGGCCCAGCUGCCCCUCUCCAGCUCCCUUUUGGGCAAACACGAGGUCUCUCCCUGGACCCAGGCCAGCUUCCGCUCCUUUUAGUUCUCCUCUGACCCUGGGGGUACAGCCGUCCCUGCCAGCUUGAGGGGACUCUGGGAAGGCAGCGCCCCACCUCUCCUUCCCCAGAGCAGGGGCUCCAGAUCCCAGGGAUGGAGCAGAGCUGCCAACUUCCUGUGUGACUCCAGCAAGUCAGGCUUGCCUACCUGGGCUUCAGUUUCCCUACUUGUGAAAUAGGAAGAGGCUGAGGCAGGAGAAUCGCUGGGACCCAGGAGAUGGAGGUUAUUCUCUCUGAGCCUCUGUGUCCUUGGCUGCAGUGUCUAGGAAAGCAUCUGCACACAGUGAUGUGUGUGGUCCAGGCCAUCCUUUCUCUGUUCUGUGCACCCACGGCCAUGCCUGCUGAGAAUCCUGCCACCAAUGAUUCCUCAGUGGCAUGGGGAGAGAUGGAACGUGCCGUUGCUUCCCUGCAGGUUCUAGGAGCUGGUCUUUGGGCCCAAGACUCCAACACCGUUGUCUGCAUGGGAUUUGGACAAGGGUGACCUUGAUCCUUCCCACAUCCCACUGCUGAAAGGAAGGGCCAUGUUGGGCCACAGGAGAUGAGAGUUCUAGGGGAUGUGGAGCGUGGGGUCUUGGUGUGGCUGAAUUAGAGGCAUUACUCCAUGAGAUAGGGACACGGGAGGAGGACGUUGUCUGGAAUGGCUGAUAUUUGCGGUGUCUUUGGGUACCCAGGGGGGCUGGUGGGCUGUGCCUGAAGACAGAUGCAGCAACUCAGAGAUGUGUAGAGAUUCCUGAGUGUAGGUGUGGACGGACCAGGCCAGGGACCUGCAGGGUUUGGGAGGACCUGAGGGGGUGGGUGUUGGAGCCCUGGGAAAAGGAAGAACCAGGCCAAGCAGGUGCCCAGCCUCUGUCCUGUGGGAAGCUCCCUGCUCUUUGGGCAGCCCCCACAUUGAGAAUGGGGCCUCCAUUCUGGCAGCUUGUGCACGGGAGGCCAAGCGACCCAGAUAGGGUCUGCAGACUCCAAGCAGCACAGAGCACCAGCCCAGGAGAUGCAGUUCCCAAGGCAGCCUCCUAAACAGAAGUGAGCUCUUCCCAGAGUUUUCAAGAUUAAAAGAGCCAGGCACAGUGACUCACAACUGUAAUCCCAGCACUUUCGGAGGCUGAAGCAGGAGGAUCACUUGAGCCUAGGAGUUCAAGAAUAGCCUGUGCAACAGAGAGAGAUUCUCUCUACAAAAAAUUUUAAAAAAACUUAGUCUGGCACGGUGAUUCAUGCCUGGAGCCCCAGCUACUAGAGAGGCUGAGUGGGGAGGACUGCUUGAGCCAAAGAGUUCAAGGCUGCAGUAAGUCAUGACGGCACCACUAUACUCCAACCUGGGAAACAGGGUGAAACCCUGUCUCAAAAAACAGGAGCCAGGCUGGGCACCAUGGCUCACGCCUGUAAUCCCAGAACUUUGGGAGGCCGAGGUGGGCAGAUCACCUGAGCUCAGGAGUUCAAGACCAGCCUGGCCAACAUGGCAAAACCCCAUCUCUACUAAAAAUACAAAAAUUAACCGGAUGUGGUGGCAGGCGCCUGUAGUCCCAGCUCUCAGGAGGCUGAU